UACGUAGGGCGCCAGCGUUGUCCGGAUUUACUGGGCGUAAAGAGCGCGCAGGCGGUCGUACAAGUCGCGUAUGAAAUCCCCCGGCUCAACUGGGGUGGGUCACGCGAUACUGUUCGACUCGAAGGCAGGAGAGGGAAGCGGAAUUCCCGGUGUAGUGGUGAAAUGCGUAGAUAUUGGGAGGAACACCGGUGGCGAAGGCGGCUACCUGGACCGGUACUGACGCUGAGGCGCGAAAGCUAGGGUAGCAAACAGG
rnacentral:rRNA from 1 species